UGACGCUGCGGUCACGCGGCCCGGUCACGUGGCGCCCAACAUGGCCGCCCCCACGGGGGCGCUGUGGCGGCGGUUGCUGCGCAGCGCUGCGGUGCGGCGUCUGUGCGGAACCGCGGCGGCGGAGGAGCCCGAGAGAGCCGUGGUGAACGUGGUGUUCGUGGACAGCGCGGGGCGGAGGGUGGAGGCGCGGGGCCGCGUGGGGGACAACGUCCUGCAGCUCGCCCGGGAGUGCGGCGUUCCCAUUGAGGG
rnacentral:lncRNA from 1 species